AUUGAACGCUGGCGGAAUGCUUUACACAUGCAAGUCGAACGGUAACAGGUCUUCGGACGCUGACGAGUGGCGAACGGGUGAGUAAUAUAUCGGAACGUGCCCAGUCGUGGGGGAUAACGUAGCGAAAGUUACGCUAAUACCGCAUACGAUCUAUGGAUGAAAGCGGGGGAUCGCAAGACCUCGCGCGAUUGGAGCGGCCGAUAUCAGAUUAGGUAGUUGGUGGGGUAAAGGCUCACCAAGCCAACGAUCUGUAGCUGGUCUGAGAGGACGACCAGCCACACUGGAACUGAGACACGGUCCAGACUCCUACGGGAGGCAGCAGUGGGGAAUUUUGGACAAUGGACGCAAGUCUGAUCCAGCCAUUCCGCGUGCAGGAUGAAGGCCCUCGGGUUGUAAACUGCUUUUGUACGGAACGAAAAGGUCUCUCCUAAUACGAGGGGCUCAUGACGGUACCGUAAGAAUAAGCACCGGCUAACUACGUG
rnacentral:rRNA from 1 species